CUAUGUAGGGAAGGGAUAAACGCUGAAAGCAUCUAAGUGUGAAGCCCACCUCAAGAUGAGAUUUCCCAUUUCUUUAAGAAAGUAAGCUCCCUGAGAGAUGAUCAGGUAGAUAGGUCAGGAGUGGAAGUACAGUGAUGUAUGGAGCGGACUGAUACUAAUCGAUCGAGGACUUAACCAAU
rnacentral:rRNA from 1 species